GACUGGUAAACGGGCAAAUUGAGCACAAGUUUGCUAUCUUACACAAAAGCAACAACACUUGAAAAAUGUAGUUCAAGCAAGCAAUAAUUUUCAAAAAAAGAAAGUAAACACUACUAAGCCCUACUGGAGUGAAUUUUAAAUGAGACACAACAUACGCUUUAUUUACUGAACUUCUUAAUAUGAUGUAAUUAAAUUGAACUAUAAAGAGCAUAUAAGACGGAAAUGUCACCAUUUUGCAUGUAUGGAAGCAAAGUAUGUUUUAACUUUUGAAGGUUGAUUAACCUAACACACAUUUUAUUCCUUUUACAUUUCAAGCAAUGUUGUAUGCCCCAAAAAUGUUGAUGACAACCAAGACAACCAAGUGCAAUGUUUAAUGACUUGUUACUCAUGUUAACAUUAGAGAAUGUGGUAUGUUAGACCUUGGCCUAUUUGAAAGCACUGCAAUUUCAAUGACAGUAAUAUAUUAUCUACUAUGUGAUGUGCUUAUUGUCCCCUACCGGUUUCACCGGAGGGGACUUAUGGUUUUCGCUCUGUGUGUCCGUCAGUCCGUCAGUCUGUCAAACUUUUCUGGAUCCUGCGAUAACUUUGAAAGUUCUUCAUAUUUUUUCAUGAAACUUGAAACAUGGCUUGAUGGCAAUAUGGAGAUUAUGCACGUCAUAGACUAGAAAUACUGCUGAAAAUGGUGGAUCCUGCACACUUUUCUGGAUCCUGUGAUAACUUCAAAAUGUCUUAAUAUUUUUCAUGAAACUUGCAACAUGGAUAAAUGGCAAUAUGGACAUUAUGCACGUCAUUUCAUUUUGUUCCUAUGUCAAAAAUUGUAGUUGCUAUGGCAACAACAAAACCAUUCUGAAAAUGGUGGAAUUUCUGACAAUGGUGGAGCCGGUAGGGGACCAUAUUGCUUGACAAUAGCCUUGUUCAUAGAGGUUUUUGUUGAUGUUGUUUCUCAGUAAGGUUGUUGUGACAGCAUGUUCAUUUAUAGAAGUUGUGUUUGUGUUGACAGUGACAUAUUCAUUAGGAUUGAUAAAAAAUUGAUCACCUAUGACCUGCGAUACAUAUUUUACAAUAAGAUUGUGUAAGCAUUUUAAAGUUUGUGAAAGCCUAUAUGAAUAAAAGAAUGUGCAUGCUUAAAAAGAAAUCAUGUGCAUGAAUAUCAAAAUUUAUUAACUAUAAAGACAUUAUUAAUUAUUAUAAUAAAAUGCUGUCUUUUAAAAUACCAGAACAUUGUUAACAUUGUCCAAACCCUCUAAACAGUUGCUAAGCACCGGAUGAUAUGUCUGAACAACCAAUUGAAAUGAUUGAAUUUA